CAAACAGGAUUAGAUACCCUGGUAGUCCACGCCCUAAACGAUGUCAACUAGCUGUUGGGGCCGUUAGGCCUUAGUAGCGCAGCUAACGCGUGAAGUUGACCGCCUGGGGAGUACGGUCGCAAGAUUAAAACUCAAAGGAAUUGACGGGGACCCGCACAAGCGGUGGAUGAUGUGGAUUAAUUCGAUGCAACGCGAAAAACCUUACCUACCCUUGACAUGUCUGGAAAGCCGAAGAGAUUUGGCCGUGCUCGCAAGAGAACCGGAACACAGGUGCUGCAUGGCUGUCGUCAGCUCGUGUCGUGAGAUGUUGGGUUAAGUCCCGCAACGAGCGCAACCCUUGUCAUUAGUUGCUACGCAAGAGCACUCUAAUGAGACUGCCGGUGACAAACCGGAGGAAGGUGGGGAUGACGUCAAGUCCUCAUGGCCCUUAUGGGUAGGGCUUCACACGUCAUACAAUGGUCGGGACAGAGGGUCGCCAACCCGCGAGGGGGAGCCAAUCUCAGAAACCCGAUCGUAGUCCGGAUCGCAGUCUGCAACUCGACUGCGUGAAGUCGGAAUCGCUAGUAAUCGCGGAUCAGAAUGUCGCGGUGAAUACGUUCCCGGGUCUUGUACACACCGCCCGUCACACCAUGGGAGUGGGUUUCACCAGAAGUAGGUAGCCUAACCGCAAGGAGGG
rnacentral:rRNA from 1 species